CACGGGGGGAGCAAGCGUUGUUCGGAAUCACUGGGCGUAAAGAGCUCGUAGGCGGUUUGUCGCGUCUGCUGUGAAAACUGGAGGCUCAACCUCCAGCCUGCAGUGGGUACGGGCAAACUAGAGUGCGGUAGGGGAGAUUGGAAUUCCUGGUGUAGCGGUGGAAUGCGCAGAUAUCAGGAGGAACACCGAUGGCGAAGGCAGAUCUCUGGGCCGUAACUGACGCUGAGGAGCGAAAGCAUGGGGAGCGAACGG
rnacentral:rRNA from 1 species